AUUGAACGCUGGCGGCAUGCUUUACACAUGCAAGUCGAACGGUAACAGGGAGCUUGCUCCGCUGACGAGUGGCGAACGGGUGAGUAAUGCGUCGGAACGUGCCGAGUAGUGGGGGAUAACGCAGCGAAAGUUGUGCUAAUACCGCAUACGUACUGAGGUAGAAAGUGGGGGACCUUCGGGCCUCACGCUAUUCGAGCGGCCGACGUCUGAUUAGCUAGUGGGUGAGGUAAAGGCUCACCUAGGCGACGAUCAGUAGCGGGUCUGAGAGGAUGAUCCGCCACACUGGAACUGAGACAAGGCCCAGACUCCUACGGGAGGCAGCAGUGGGGAAUUUUGGACAAGGGGCGAAAGCCUGAUCCAGCCAUGCCGCGUGUCUGAAGAAGGCCUUCGGGUUGUAAAGGACUUUUGUCGGGGAGGAAAUCCCCAGCGUUAAUACCGCUGGGGGAUGACAGUACCUGAAGAAUAAGCACCGGCUAACUACGUGCCAGCCGCCGCCGUAAAAC
rnacentral:rRNA from 1 species